AUGCAAUCUUUAGCACUAAGGGUCAGGUGGGAAUGGCUAAAGCGUACGGAGCCCGCGAGGCCCUGGCAGGGAUUACCAAUGAUCGAAGACAGAUUGGCGAGGGAGGUGUUUGACAGUUUGGUUCAUAUUCAAGUUGGAGCAGGCGAUAGGGUUCUGUUUUGGAGGGACCGGUGGAUACAUGGAUAUUCAGUAGCUGACAUUGCUCCAAUCCUGCUUACGACGGUCCAUGCGAGGGUGAUCAAUACUAGAACGGUGCAGCAGGCUUUGCUCAACAACAAAUGGAUGGAGGACUGUCAAAUUGAGAUCUCUUUCAUGGCGCAAUUGCAAUGCAUGCAUCUUUGUCAUGCGGUGGCGACAGUUGACAGACGCGAGACCGAGAAGGAUGUUUUCACAUGGACUUGUUCAUCUAGUGGACAAUACUCAGCCAAGUCAGUCUACUCCAGUCUUUGCAGUGGAUGGCCUAAAUCACCCCUGGAUAAGUGUGUUUGGAGAAGCUGA
rnacentral:rRNA from 1 species